GCUUGUGUGAAUAUGUCUGCAUGUGUGCCUUUGUGUGGAUAUAUCUGAGCACUCGAGUGUAAAAAUGCAUGUGGAUGAGUUUCUGAACGUCUCUGAGUGUGUCUCUGUGUCUCUGGGUGACUAUGUGAAUGUCCUUGAGUGCACAGGAGCGUGUGAAUGAAUGUUUCCAGAGUGCCUUUGUGUGACCGGGUGGACGAGUGUGUGUGUGACUCUGUGUGUCACCAGCAGAGUCCUCUCAGAAUAGGUCUGAGCCCUUGCAUCCAGCAGCCCUCCUCCAACUGACCUCUGACUGACAGAGGCAUCAAGCCUGCCCCACCCUUCAGAAAAGCCCAGCCCCCAUGCCCCAACUCCCUUCCUGGUGACUCACCUCCCUGCCAACCCUGCACCCCUCCCCCAGCCUCCUGCCAUCAAGGAUAGUCCCUCUCUAGCCCAGUUUACCAUCUUCCCACCCGAAGUGGGUCUCAGUCCCUCCAGGCAGCCUUCUGUGAUCAGCGAAGGGGAACCUAACAUCAGCUAAGCAUGUUCCAUUGUACUCCCGUUUGACAAAUGAAAACAUGAGGCUCAAAGCACUGUGACCUGCUGCAGGUCACACAGUGGACACGAGUGUUUAAGCUCAAGCCUCCGGGCAGCCGGCUUCACUCCCAUAUUUCUGCUGAGGAAACAGGCUCUGAGAGGCAGAUACCUGGCGAAAACAGGACUUGAAUCUCAUCUUCUUCCGACUUCAAGUCCAGGGCUUUUGCUACCAUACGUGGCUCGCUCGGGUCCCAAGGCCGGCUUCGCUGGGCGGAGGCCAAGAGGCAGGGAUGUGAGAGGCAGAGUUCACUUGGCUCUUUUGGAUGAGGAGGACCAGAGAAACGCUCGCCUCAGUGCUUAGGGAGACAGGGCUUGUGGUGAGGCUACGUGGGAAGCGAGGAAGACAGGGAGGGUGCUCCCACCUCCAGGCCUCGGCAUCUCCGUGGGUGUUCAGGAAGCAGAGCAGCUCCACUGGCCUGACGUCUUUCCAUGGCUGAAGGUGCCCAACGCUCAAUCUGAUGCUUUAGUGGUCACAGAGACCUGGUCAUCCUGGGUCUUCACUCUGGUCUUCCUGCACGUCCUGCCUGCCCAGGGUCCUUGCCGGGCUUGGCUCCUGCAGCCUCACAAUCUUGCUCACAGCUUUCAGUCGCUCACUCCCUUCCUCCCCAAGAGAGGAUCUACUGGGUGCGGCGGAUCUGAUUCCUGGAGGACGGUUUCCGGCCAGACCACUUCAUGGGCUGCUAGCCAGCUGAGCGAGGGCCAGGCCCAUCUCUGGUCCAGUCAGUGGCCGGGCAGCUGGGACACUUGGUUCAGAGCAUGGUGACUUAAGAAAACCUUAGAGGGACUGUGGGCAAGGCAGGCACUUCAAGUACAAACGACUCCCUUGAACACACACCUUCAUUUCAGCUGUUUCCAUGAAGUUGUGGACAGUGCCUCUUCAUCUCUCUGUCCCCAGUGCCCAACACAGGGCUGGCAGAGUUGAGCUGCAGUGACUCUGUUGAUGGACAAGUGAAUAAAGUCAGCCAAGGAGCCUUGGGGCUCUGUUGAAGUCUGUGGCUGUGCAAUGGGACCUGUAAUUGCUGUGUCCUUGUCCAGGGCACUCCAGGAUCACCAUCCCCUCAAACCUCCCUGCUUCUAAACCUGUGGGCUUGGG
rnacentral:lncRNA from 1 species